GCGCACCAGUCGCGAAUCCUCCGCAAUGCACGCAAGUGUGACGGGGGAUUCCAAGUGUUAUUGCAUUUUGUGUGAUAACUUUUCUUAAAUGUAAAUAGUUUGAGGAAUAAGGGCUGGGUAAGACGGGUGCCGGCCGCCGCGGUAAUACCCGCAGCUCAAGUGGUCUGGAGUUUUAUUGGGUCUAAAGCGUUCGUAGCUGGGUCUAUAAGUUCUCUGUGAAAAUCUAAACGGCUUAACCGUUAGGCGUGCAGAGGAUAC
rnacentral:rRNA from 1 species